rnacentral:lncRNA from 1 species
AACAGAGCCCUGUGUAAAAAUCCCGGAUCAGUUAAUUCACUAGAAGCUUCUCCAGUGAGAUGCAUGAAAUUCAAAUGACUUAUAAUACUGACUCAAAGGGGGUGUGGAGUGGGGACCCUCUGAAGACAACGUGCUCCUCUCGAGAAUUUCUGCCAGUACAAGAACAGGCGAGGGGACUGGCCUUCACACACCUUAGCAGGGCAGGAGAGCCCGCAUGACUUCCACGCGCUCUUGGCUGCCUCCAGUAGAGCACUGACUCCGAGCUAUCUAUUUGCCUGUCAGGUUCAUCGCUAGAUUGUGAGCCCCUGCUAACCUGGGGCCAUGUCUUAUUCAACUUUUAUAUCCUCCGUGUCAAGAAUGUUGUUCAAGCUGAC